CUACGGGAGGCAGCAGUGGGGAAUCUUGCACAAUGGAGGAAACUCUGAUGCAGCGAUGCCGCGUGAGUGAAGAAGGCCCUUGGGUUGUAAAGCUCUUUUGUCGGGAAAGAUAAUGACUGUACCCGAAGAAUAAGGUCCGGCUAACUUCGUGCCAGCAGCCGCGGUAAUACGAAGGGACCUAGCGUAAUUCGGAAUUACUGGGCGUAAAGCGCGCGUAGGCGGUUAAGUAAGUUAAUUGUGAAAGCCCAAAGCUCAACUUUGGAAUUGCAAUUAAAACUACUUAGCUAGAGUAUGACAGAGGAAAGCGGAAUACAUAGUGUAGAGGUGAAAUUCGUAGAUAUUAUGUAGAACACCAGUUGCGAAGGCGGCUUUCUGGGAUAACACUGACGCUGAGGUGCGAAAGUAUGGGUAGCGAAGAGGAUUAGAUACCCUCGUAGUCCAUACCGUAAACGAUGAUUGUUAGAUGUUGGAAAUUUAUUUUCAGUAUCACAGCUAACGCGUUAAACAAUCCGCCUGGGGAGUACGACCGCAAGGUUAAAACUCAAAGGAAUUGACGGA
rnacentral:rRNA from 1 species